rnacentral:tRNA from 1 species
AUAAGCGGGAGUAGUAUAGUGGUAAUACGUCAGCUUCCCAAGCUGAAAUUGCGGGUUAAGUUUUCGUGUUUGCACGAAAAUCUUAAAAGGGCGGUGGCGAAGCCAUAAAAAUAGUCCGGUGGACUGUUUUUAAGCCCGUGGGCGUGUCAGCCCACGGUAGUGGGCUGAGCGAUUCCCGUCUCAUUAUA